UCCAGCAUGAAGCAACACAACUUUCAUCAAGUUGUGGAUGGCGUUUAAACACCCGAUGGACAUCCAUUGAAAGGAUUUACAGAUGAUCUGCAGUUCUCCUGUCUAUGUGUGGACAUGGAAGACUUCAGAUGCUUCACAAAACACAAAAAGAAAAGCAUCAGAAGAGUAUAAUUGGAUGUGUUCAAGACCUCAGGGAAAGGUCCAAAACAAGUGUGUGGUUCCUUCCAGACUUACCCGACAUGAUGCUGCACAGACUCUGCAGGAAGUGUGUGUCUGAGCGUUUGGAG